rnacentral:rRNA from 1 species
UUUUUUUUUUUUUUUUUUAUUCUGCUCAGGAUGAACGCUGGCGGCGUGCCUAAUACAUGCAAGUCGAACGAACUUCCGUUAAUUGAUUAUGACGUGCUUGCACUGAAUGAGAUUUUAACACGAAGUGAGUGGCGGACGGGUGAGUAACACGUGGGUAACCUGCCCAGAAGCAGGGGAUAACACCUGGAAACAGAUGCUAAUACCGUAUAACAGAGAAAACCGCCUGGUUUUCUUUUAAAAGAUGGCUCUGCUAUCACUUCUGGAUGGACCCGCGGCGCAUUAGCUAGUUGGUGAGGUAACGGCUCACCAAGGCGAUGAUGCGUAGCCGACCUGAGAGGGUAAUCGGCCACAUUGGGACUGAGACACGGCCCAGACUCCUACGGGAGGCAGCAGUAGGGAAUCUUCCACAAUGGACGCAAGUCUGAUGGAGCAACGCCGCGUGAGUGAAGAAGGGUUUCGGCUCGUAAAGCUCUGUUGUUAAAGAAGAACGUGGGUGAGAGUAACUGUUCACCCAGUGACGGUAUUUAACCAGAAAGCCACGGCUAACUACGUGCCAGCAGCCGCGGUAAUACGUAGGUGGCAAGCGUUAUCCGGAUUUAUUGGGCGUAAAGCGAGCGCAGGCGGUCUUUUAAGUCUAAUGUGAAAGCCUUCGGCUCAACCGAAGAAGUGCAUUGGAAACUGGGAGACUUGAGUGCAGAAGAGGACAGUGGAACUCCAUGUGUAGCGGUGAAAUGCGUAGAUAUAUGGAAGAACACCAGUGGCGAAGGCGGCUGUCUGGUCUGUAACUGACGCUGAGCUCGAAGACG